GACGAACGCUGGCGGCGUGCCUAAUACAUGCAAGUUGAGCGCUGAAGGUUGGUACUUGUACCAACUGGAUGAGCAGCGAACGGGUGAGUAACGCGUGGGGAAUCUGCCUUUGAGCGGGGGACAACAUUUGGAAACGAAUGCUAAUACCGCAUAAAAACUUUAAACACAAGUUUUAAGUUUGAAAGAUGCAAUUGCAUCACUCAAAGAUGGUCCCGCGUUGUAUUAGCUAGUUGGUGAGGUAAAGGCUCACCAAGGCGAUGAUACAUAGCCGACCUGAGAGGGUGAUCGGCCACAUUGGGACUGAGACACGGCCCAAACUCCUACGGGAGGCAGCAGUAGGGAAUCUUCGGCAAUGGACGAAAGUCUGACCGAGCAACGCCGCGUGAGUGAAGAAGGUUGUCGGAUCGUAAAACUCUGUUGGUAGAGAAGAACGUUGGUGAGAGUGGAAAGCUCAUCAAGUGACGGUAACUACCCAGAAAGGGACGGCUAACUACGUG
rnacentral:rRNA from 1 species